GAUGAACGCUGGCGGCGUGCCUAAUACAUGCAAGUCGAGCGAACAGACGAGGAGCUUGCUCCUCUGACGUUAGCGGCGGACGGGUGAGUAACACGUGGAUAACCUACCUAUAAGACUGGGAUAACUUCGGGAAACCGGAGCUAAUACCGGAUAAUAUAUUGAACCGCAUGGUUCAAUAGUGAAAGACGGUUUUGCUGUCACUUAUAGAUGGAUCCGCGCCGCAUUAGCUAGUUGGUAAGGUAACGGCUUACCAAGGCGACGAUGCGUAGCCGACCUGAGAGGGUGAUCGGCCACACUGGAACUGAGACACGGUCCAGACUCCUACGGGAGGCAGCAGUAGGGAAUCUUCCGCAAUGGGCGAAAGCCUGACGGAGCAACGCCGCGUGAGUGAUGAAGGUCUUCGGAUCGUAAAACUCUGUUAUUAGGGAAGAACAAAUGUGUAAGUAGCUAUGCACGUAUUGACGGUACCUAAUCAGAAAGCCACGGCUAACUACGUG
rnacentral:rRNA from 1 species